rnacentral:rRNA from 1 species
GAGAGAGAGACAUGCGCGCAUAUCAAUAAGCGGAGGAAAAGAAACUAACAAGGAUUCCCCUAGUAACGGCGAGUGAAGCGGGAAGAGCUCAAAUUUGAAAUCUUAAAGGGUUUCCCUUUACGAAUUGUAGUUUAAAGAAGUGUUUUCUGUUGAGGUUUUGGUAAAAGUUCUUUGGAAUAGGACAUCAUAGAGGGUGAGAAUCCCGUAUUUGACCUUUACUUUCAACUUUGUGAUACACUUUCAAAGAGUCGGAUUGUUUGGGAAUGCAGUCCAAAAUGGGUGGUAAAUUUCAUCUAAAGCUAAAUAUUGGCGAGAGACCGAUAGCGAACAAGUACCGUGAGGGAAAGAUGAAAAGAACUUUGAAAAGAGAGUUAAACAGUACGUGAAAUUGUCAAAAGGGAAGCGUUUGACACCAGUGUUGUUUUUCUGAAAAUCAAUUAAAGAACUGUUUAUGCUAAGUUGUUUAGACUUUAUCAGCUAACUGUUUAGUUUUGAGCUUUUCUUUAAUGCACUUUUCAGUUAACAAGUCAACAUCAAUUUCUUUUGCUGUAAAAAAGCUUGAGGAAGGUGGCUUGAGAUUCGUCUUAAGUGUUUAUAGCCUCUUGCCUAUGCAGUCGGAGAGAUUGAGGUCUGCAGCGUAGAUCCUUCGGGGCUAAAUGCAUUUGUGCUAAGUUAUAGCAUUUUAUAGACAACUUGUUGACUAUGAUUUGUCUUGUAGCUUACUCGCUUAUGUUAUUUUACCUACGCUUAGGAUGUUGACGCAUGAGAUAUACGC